rnacentral:rRNA from 1 species
UAGCCAGACUCCUACGGGAGGCAGCAGUGGGGAAUAUUGCACAAUGGGGGAAACCCUGAUGCAGCGACGCCGCGUGGGCGAGGAAGUAUUUCGGUAUGUAAAGCCCUAUCGGCAGGGAAGAAGAAAUGACGGUACCUGACUAAGAAGCCCCGGCUAACUACGUGCCAGCAGCCGCGGGAAUACGUAGGGGGCAAGCGUUAUCCGGAUUUACUGGGUGUAAAGGGAGCGUAGACGGCGAUGCAAGCCAGAUGUGAAAGCCCGGGGCUCAACCCCGGGACUGCAUUUGGAACUGUGCGGCUGGAGUGUCGGAGAGGCAGGCGGAAUUCCUAGUGUAGCGGUGAAAUGCGUAGAUAUUAGGAGGAACACCAGUGGCGAAGGCGGCCUGCUGGACGAUGACUGACGUUGAGGCUCGAAAGCGUGGGGAGCAAACAGGAUUAGAUACCCCCGUA